rnacentral:rRNA from 1 species
AGGGCUUAACACAUGCAAGUCGAGCGGGCGAGCAAUACGUCAGCGGGCAGACGGGUGAGUAACGCGUGGGAACAUACCUUUUGGUUCGGUAACAACACAGGGAAACUUGUGCUAAUACCGGAUAAGCCCUUACGGGGAAAGAGUUUAUCGCCGAAAGAUUGGCCCGCGUCUGAUUAGCUAGUUGGUGAGGUAACGGCUCACCAAGGCGACGAUCAGUAGCUGGUCUGAGAGGAUGAUCAGCCACAUUGGGACUGAGACACGGCCCAAACUCCUACGGGAGGCAGCAGUGGGGAAUAUUGGACAAUGGGCGCAAGCCUGAUCCAGCCAUGCCGCGUGAGUGAUGAGGGCCCUAGGGUUGUAAAGCUCUUUUGUGCGGGAAGAUAAUGACGGUACCGCAAGAAUAAGCCCCCGGCUAACUUCGUG